GGCAAUUUGGCCGAGUGGUUAAGGCGUGAGAUUAGAAAUCUCUUGGGCUCUGCCCGCGCAGGUUCGAAUCCUGCAGUUGUCG
rnacentral:tRNA from 1 species